AUCCGAGCUCUCUGCAACCAAAGACGUAACGAUCCCCUUUCCCUUCGCUGGAAAAUAACGAUUUCGUAGCUACGACAUUCAAUCACCUAAACCCACUAAUCCCACUACCUGAUCUUCAUUGCAGCUUUCAUUUAUCGUUUAAAAGCUUCACUGAGUGAUAUAUACACAUUUUGAGAUGCCUCUUUCCCAACUCAUCUCCUCCCUCUCAAGCAAGCUUUCCGAUAAUUAUAAGUUCCUAGCUUCGUUUCUCUUAACUGAAGGGAGGCUGCUGUAGACAAGUAGCCAAGACGAGAUUGGGAGGUCUGGAAUGUAAAGAAAGGGGUGAGUUAAUGGGUGUGGAUAUGCUUCUGCGUGAUGGCAAGGCUACGAUGAUCCAAGUGUCUAUAAAUAUGCACAGUCCCAACGGCUUCAAACACAUAUUGAUUGAUUGAAAGACUGUAGUUUUGUUUUGCGCUUUUAGGUGUACAACCUCAUUGAUGAAGGCUAAGAUCGAGAUGUUGGAUCUCACUCUAAGGAUACAACUGGCGUUUUGAUAGGAGAAAGAUAAAAAUUAGUAGGACCUUUGGGAUCUUUGUAAACAAGUGGGGCUAUUCUGACUACGACCAAACCAGUGAAUUGUUUGGUAUCACCGGAAUAAAGGCAGGUCAAAGAAUGAAGCUUUUGCGGUCUGCAUUACAAGAUCCUUGUGGUAGAUUGGAUGUAGAAGGCAUGGACUGUCAAAUUUUUUUUCUAGAAAACUGCAAAACUCAGUAUGUUGUAUUGUAACAGUUAUUGCUAAACACUGUCGUGGACAUGUUUCUCUCCCUCUAGCGGUAAAGACAUUAAAGUUUCCAUCAGCAAGUGACCACGUAACCAAUUAUAUCAAAAUCUGGUGGUGCACAAUUGGAUCUACUUAUCUUGGAUACAAUAUAUAAGGUAAUCCAAAUCAUCCUUCUGCAUUGAAGUUUGAUUUGUUUACGUUUACUUUAUUCUGAUGCUUUCACAUUCUCUCUUUUAUCCUACCUGCUGAAAGGAUCUCACAACAAUCACUUAUAUUUC